GGAGGGGUGCUCCGAAUUGGUAAGGAACUUGUCUUGAAAACAAGCGCUCGCAAGGGCAUGCGGGUUCGAGUCCCGCCCCCUCCG
rfam:Candidatus Thrbacteria bacterium RIFCSPLOWO2_02_FTLL_53_10 rifcsplowo2_02_scaffold_3649, whole genome shotgun sequence.